rnacentral:rRNA from 1 species
CCUACGGGAGGCAGCAGUAGGGAAUCUUCCACAAUGGGCGAAAGCCUGAUGGAGCAACGCCGCGUGGGUGAAGAAGGUCUUCGGAUCGUAAAACCCUGUUGGUAGAGAAGAAAGUGCGUGAGAGUAACGGUUCACGUUUCGACGGUAUCUAACCAGAAAGCCACGGCUAACUCCGUGCCAGAAGCCGCGGUAAUACGUAGGUGGCAAGCGUUAUCCGGAUUAACUGGGCGUAAAGGGAACGCAGGCGGUCUUUUAAGUCUGUUGUGAAAGCCUUCGGCUUAACCGGGGUAGUGCAUUGGAAACUGGGAGACUUGAGUGCAGAAGGGGGGAGUGGAACUCCAUGUGUAGCGGUGAAAUGCGUAGAUAUAUGGAAGAACACCAGUGGCGAAAGCGGCCCUCUGGUCUGUAACUGACGCUGAGGUUCGAAAGCGUGGGUAGCAAACAGGAUUAGAUACCCUUGUAGUC